CCUAACGAGGCGAAGCCGAGUAGGACAAGCUUACGACGUUGCUUGAAAACUGAAAUGAGAUGAAACCACAACACCAUUAACAUAGAAAUCACUCUACAGCCAUUUCAACAACAAAGCAUGCACACUUGAUCGCGGCCGGAUAAAUAUAUAUGAAAAUCCACUUUCGGCCGGAGAGAGCGUCCGGGAUAGUACUUUCUUGGCCGCAAAUACCUCUCUCUGAGAAGUACAGA